GUAAGACGUCGUGGAGGACCGAACCCACUUAGGUUGAAAACUGAGGGGAUGAGCUGUGGGUAGGGGUGAAAGGCCAAUCAAACUCCGUGAUAGCUGGUUCUCCCCGAAAUGCAUUUAGGUGCAGCGUCGCGUGUUUCUCACCGGAGGUAGAGCUACUGGAUGGUCUAGGGGGCCCACAAGCUUACCGAAAUCAGCCAAACUCCGAAUGCCGGUGAGUGAGAGCGCGGCAGUGAGACU
rnacentral:rRNA from 1 species